GGCUGCAUAGCUUAGUUGGCAGAGCGGUUCUCUCAUAAGGAACAAGUCGGUAGUUCAAGUCUACCCGCAGCCAC
rnacentral:tRNA from 1 species